ACGAAUUGCAAUCAUCAUAUGGGCGGGGGUGAAUCCUUUGCAGACGACUUGAAUGGGAACGGGGUACUGUAAGCGGUAGAGUAGCCUUGUUGCUACGAUCCGCUGAGGUUAAGCCCUUGUUCUAAAGAUUUGUUCAACUAUGUUGAACGCUUCUCUUCUUUUUUCUUUCUCUUCUUUCCAUGCAUUAACUUGAGGGCCGGUCAAAUUGACUGGGCUACCAGUGAAGGCAUGAUUAGAAGAGAGAGCAGGCAACAGUCAGUGACUACUACUGAUGCUUGCUCUACAGUUAGAAUCAGGGAGAGAGAAUGAAGAAGUGGUAGUAGGGAAUAGGGCUGAGUAGUUAGAUCUUGUUAGGCACUUGAGGGCAAGCUAGUAGUGUCAG
rnacentral:rRNA from 1 species